rnacentral:rRNA from 1 species
AUCAGGUAGGGAUACCCGCUGAACUUAAGCAUAUCAAUAAGCGGAGGAAAAGAAACCAACAGGGAUUGCCCCAGUAACGGCGAGUGAAGCGGCAAGAGCUCAAAUUUGAAAGCUGGCUCCUUCGGGGUCCGCAUUGUAAUUUGUAGAGGAUGCUUCGGGAGCGGUCCCCAUCUAAGUGCCCUGGAACGGGACGUCAUAGAGGGUGAGAAUCCCGUAUGGGAUGGGGUGUCCGCGCCCGUGUGAAGCUCCUUCGACGAGUCGAGUUGUUUGGGAAUGCAGCUCUAAAUGGGUGGUAAAUUUCAUCUAAAGCUAAAUAUUGGCCGGAGACCGAUAGCGCACAAGUAGAGUGAUCGAAAGAUGAAAAGCACUUUGAAAAGAGAGUUAAAAAGCACGUGAAAUUGUUGAAAGGGAAGCGCUUGCGACCAGACUCGCUCGCGGGGUUCAGCCGGCAUUCGUGCCGGUGUACUUCCCCGCGGGCGGGCCAGCGUCGGUUUGGGCGGUCGGUCAAAGGCCCUCGGAAGGUAACGCCCCUAGGGGCGUCUUAUAGCCGAGGGUGCAAUGCGACCUGCCUAGACCGAGGAACGCGCUUCGGCUCGGACGCUGGCAUAAUGGUCGUAAGCGACC